GAUCCUGGCUCAGGAUGAACGCUAGCUACAGGCUUAACACAUGCAAGUCGAGGGGCAGCAUUUUAGUUUGCUUGCAAACUGAAGAUGGCGACCGGCGCACGGGUGAGUAACGCGUAUCCAACCUGCCCAUCACUUGGGAAUAACCUUGCGAAAGUAAGACUAGUGCCCAAUGAUAUCCCACGAAGGCAUCCGAAUGGGAUUAAAGAUUUAUCGGUGAUGGAUGGGGAUGCGU
rnacentral:rRNA from 1 species